rnacentral:rRNA from 1 species
UGCCCUAGUAACGGCGAGUGAAGCGGCAACAGCUCAAAUUUGAAAUCUGGCUCUCGGGCCCGAGUUGUAAUUUGUAGAGGAUGACUUUGAUGCGGUGCCUUCCGAGUUCCCUGGAACGGGACGCCAUAGAGGGUGAGAGCCCCGUCUGGUUGGAUGCCAAAUCUCUGUAAGUCUCCUUCGACGAGUCGAGUAGUUUGGGAAUGCUGCUCUAAAUGGGAGGUAUAUGUCUUCUAAAGCUAAAUACCGGCCAGAGACCGAUAGCGCACAAGUAGAGUGAUCGAAAGAUGAAAAGCACUUUGAAAAGAGAGUUAAAAAGUACGUGAAAUUGUUGAAAGGGAAGCGUUUAUGACCAGACUUGGGCUUGGUUAAUCAUCUGGGGUUCUCCCCAGUGCACUUUUCCAGUCCAGGCCAGCAUCAGUUUUCGCCGGGGGAUAAAGACUUCGGGAAUGUGGCUCCCCUCGGGGAGUGUUAUAGCCCGUUGUGUAAUACCCUGGCGGGGACUGAGGUUCGCGCUUCUGCAAGGAUGCUGGCGUAAUGGUCAUCAACGACCCGUCUUGAAACACGGACCAAGGAGUCGUCUUCGUAUGCGAGUGUUCGGGUGUCAAACCCCUACGCGUAAUGAAAGUGAACGCAGGUGAGAGCUUCGGCGCAUCAUCGACCGAUCCUGAUGUUCUCGGAUGGAUUUGAGUAAGAGCAUACGGGGCCGGACCCGAAAGAAGGUGAACUAUGCCUGUGUAGGGUGAAGCCAGAGGAAACUCUGGUGGAGGCUCGCAGCGGUUCUGACGUUGCAAAUCGAUCGUCAAACAUGGGCAUG